UACGUAGGGGGCAAGCGUUGUCCGGAUUUAUUGGGCGUAAAGCGCUCGCAGGUGGUCCGUCGCGUCGUGCGUGAAAGCCCGGGGCUCAACCCCGGGUCGGCCGUGCGGACUGGCGUGCUCGAGCACUGUAGGGGCGGGUGGAAUUCCGGGUGUAGCGGUGAAAUGCGUAGAUAUCUGGAGGAACACCGGUGGCGAAGGCGGCAUCCUGGACCGGCAUUGACGCUGAGGCGCGAAAGCCAGGGGAGCAAACGGG
rnacentral:rRNA from 1 species